rnacentral:rRNA from 1 species
AGGUGAGAUCGUAUUAGCACUAAUGCACCGGAUCCAAUCGGAACUUCGAAGUUAAGCAUGCUUUGGCGAGAGUAGUACUAAGAUGGGCUUUGUCACUAGACAUUCAUAGACACAGGCA